AGGGGCAGCAUGAACUUAGCUUGCUAAGUUUGAUGGCGACCGGCGCACGGGUGAGUAACACGUAUCCAACCUGCCAAUGACUCGGGGAUAGCCUUUCGAAAGAAAGAUUAAUACCCGAUGGCAUAGUUCUUCCGCAUGGUCGAACUAUUAAAGAAUUUCGGUCAUCGAUGGGGAUGCGUUCCAUUAGGUUGUUGGCGGGGUAACGGCCCACCAAGCCUUCGAUGGAUAGGGGUUCUGAGAGGAAGGUCCCCCACAUUGGGACUGAGAUACGGCCCAGACUCC
rnacentral:rRNA from 1 species